CUUGAAGAACAAUUAAUGGAUAGAGAGGAAGAGAAAGGUGAUGAGAAACUAAGAGAAACGUUUCUAGUAGAGCUGAAUCUUGUUCUUGUUCUCUCAUUUUUUUCGUUAUCAUCUGAAGAACGAAAAUUAGAGGAAUUUGAGAUCGAUAAUAAUAAAGAUCAUCAAGAACACAACAUUAUUUCUAAAGUUAAUUCCAAGAAACGCGGAGGAAUCAAUAAAUAUAGAGCUACUGAACAUGAAUUUCCCAGGUUUCAAACCAAGAUUAAGGAUUGCAGACACUGCAGAAGAAUGUGAAGAAUAACAUCUUUGUGGAAAAGCAAGCAAAAA